GCUUCAAACGAAUUUUGACCUUACCUAUUCACCUCUUUCAAGCGCUCUCUCCUCUCCACUAUAUAUAAAUUCACCUCUCCUGCUCUCUCUUCAUUCUGACCCAUAGAAGAAACCCAAAGUGCAACUAAAACCCAAAAAAAAUGUCUAAGCUUACAACCCUCUUCACCGUAGCCCUUCUCCUCAGCUUCGCGCUUACUUGUUCUACUCGCCCCCAGCCGGUCCUAUCCGAUGACUCUCUGGAUGCCAUGGCAGCUGAGUCUGCGGUUGUUGAGAGUUGUGAAGGACUAGGGGAAGAGGAGUGCUUGAUGAGAAGGACCCUCGCUGCUCAUGUGGAUUAUAUAUAUACACAGAAGCACAAACCAUGAGCUAGUUAUCGUGAAAUUGUAAAAUCAAUAAUGAUUCAAGUUAAUUGCAUCUGUUGGUAAUAAUAUAUUAAGAAGUCUAUCCUGCUUCUUGCUUUUGUGUUAUAGCCUCAAGAUUUUACGUUCUUGUAUUUUCUUUACGUUGUGAUCAGAAAAAAUUCAUUGCCAGAAUAAGAAAACAAAUCAAGUUACUUUUUAGCA